rnacentral:rRNA from 1 species
AGACCCGAAACCCGGUGAUCUAGCCAUGGGCAGGUUGAAGGUUGGGUAACACUAACUGGAGGACCGAACCGACUAAUGUUGAAAAAUUAGCGGAUGACCUGUGGCUGGGGGUGAAAGGCCAAUCAAACCGGGAGAUAGCUGGUUCUCCCCGAAAGCUAUUUAGGUAGCGCCUCGUGAAUUCAUCUCCGGGGGUAGAGCACUGUUUCGGCUAGGGGGCCAUCCCGGCUUACCAACCCGAUGCAAACUGCGAAUACCGGAGAAUGUUAUCACGGGAGACACACGGCGGGUGCUAACGUCCGUCGUGAAGAGGGAAACAACCCAGACCGCCAGCUAAGGUCCCAAAGUCAUGGUUAAGUGGGAAACGAUGUGGGAAGGCCCAGACAGCCAGGAUGUUGGCUUAGAAGCAGCCAUCAUUUAAAGAAAGCGUAAUAGCUCACUGGUCGAGUCGGCCUGCGCGGAAGAUGUAACGGGGCUAAACCAUGCACCGAAGCUGCGGCAGCGACACUAUGUGUUGUUGGGUAGGGGAGCGUUCUGUAAGCC